rnacentral:rRNA from 1 species
CCUACGGGAGGCUGCAGUGGGGAAUAUUGCGCAAUGGGGGCAACCCUGACGCAGCAACGCCGCGUGAUUGAAGAAGGCCUUCGGGUUGUAAAGAUCUUUAAUUGGGGACGAAAACAAUGACGGUACCCAAAGAAUAAGCUCCGGCUAACUACGUGCCAGCAGUCGUGGUAAUACGUAGGGAGCAAGCGUUAUCCGGAUUUACUGGGUGUAAAGGGCGAGUAGGCGGGCUGGCAAGUUGGGAGUGAAAUCCCGGGGCUUAACCCCGGAACUGCUGUGAAAACUGCUGGUCUUGAGGGAUGGGGAGGCAGGCGGAAUGCGGUGUGUAGCGGUGAAAUGCGUAGAUAUACGGAGGAACACCAGUGGCGAAGGCGGCCUGCUGUACAGUAACUGACGCUGAGGAGCGAAGGCGUGGGGAGCGAACAGGAUUAGAUACCCGAGUAGUC